CUUGUAUUCUGACAAUUCUGUCAUCUUCAUGGCACUUAAAUUAUGUUUUUCCUUUAGACCAUUCCAGGAGCACAUUGAGACUUCAUGUUGGCAGGUUGGGGGUGGUGGUGCCUUGGAAGCUAUGACCAGGCAAGUUGGAGAUGGAGACGGAGUUGGGGCCAGGCUUUGGUUUUGGCAAAGCUGUUCAGCAAAGGCAGGUGGAAGCAAAACCAGAGAAGAGGGAGCACUCAGUCUUCCAAACUAGACCACAUAGGUCCAUUUUCCAGGGCAGAUGGAACAAAUACAGUGAAUCUAUGGAGCACAGCAAUUGUCAAUUUCUGUACCUCUCAGCAUCUCCCCAACCUCCUGGCUCAUCCUCCAACUGCCUAUAGGCCAGUGCUUCCCAAAGUAUGAGCCACAACUGAGCAGCUUCAGCACCACCUGGGAGCUUGUGAGAAAUGCAGACUCUCGGGCCCCGCCCCAGUCCUGUGCGAUCCCAGGUAGUUCACAUGCACACGUGUGCCUGAGAAGCCCUGUUGUGAGCCCGGUUUGCCCUGCAGCUGUGUUUUCCCUUCUUCCUGACAGUCAUCGGGAGCACCUCCAACACAGCCUGGUCACAAGAGGUGGUGCCUGACAUCUCCCGGUGUCUCCUCUCGAGCUGAGAUGCUUUGGCUGAGCAGGGCUGUCCUUGGGCAGAGGAGCCAAUUAGUAAAAGGAGAGGCUUCAAAGAGGCCUAACCGGCCUGAGUAAAAGCCCGAGGUCAAUUACAAACACCUAACAGUCCCUGGCUGGAACAAUCUAUUGCUUCACCUACAGGUUAGGAAGAUACCCAAGAAAACUACGCUUAGAUGUGCUGUGACUUUCCUGCUUUUAUUCCAAGGAAGGGCUUGGCUCCCAGACUUCCUUUCUGUAGGAACUCUUGAAAUGUCACUUUCCACUCUACCUUUAAAGUAAGUUCCAGGCUUGGCUGAAAUUGUCUGAUUUAUCAUCCUUCAAUUGAAGUGCACCACCCUCCCUCCAGUUUG
rnacentral:lncRNA from 1 species